CACUGUGCGCACUACCUUCGGCGCACCACCGCCUUCUGACCGGCGAAAUCAUAACCGUCCCUCGCCGGCGACCCACGUCACAGCCCGUCGCUGCUUCCUCUCUCUCUCACUCUCGCUCGCACACUCCUCUGUUUCGCGUGUUGUUGCUGCUGCUGUCGUUCCGCCGCCGCCGGAGCUCCGGAGAUCUACGGUCGUCGCUGGUCUGUUUCCACCGCCGACAUUCCGUUCCGUCGCCUGCGCUUCUCGCCGGAGUUCGCCCAGCCCGUGUUUUUCGUCCCUGCUCAAGAGAGCAGAGGUACCGAUGGUGAUAACGGGAUGGCGUAGCAGUGAGGAUUUAAUUAAUAUCUAGAUUAUCUAGACUCUCAUGGUUUUAAUUUAAGUUUAUGUCAAAACUCUGAUUAGUAACUAAGUUUCUAUUAAUCAAGACUAAUGUUGGAUCUAUAUUAUGCUUCAUGUUAUAAAAUGUUUAAGUUUAUGAUUUUAUGU